rnacentral:lncRNA from 1 species
GAUGGAAUAGAGACUUCACCAAGUCACUGGAUAUUGGGCUCCUUUGAGCUUUCUGUUCCAUCACCUUCAGCUGGUGGCUUCCAUCCUGAAGGCCACUGCAUGAUUGAGAUGGCUUUCUUAGAGCUAGCCGUCCCCUCUUCUCCUCAGGCAGCAGGAAGAUGGAAGGAGGUAAGGACAAAAGGUCUACCCUUCCAUCUGAAUAUGUUCUCCUUUCACAAUCUUCCUCUAAGUUCCAGAAAACUUUGCUUCUUCUAUCUCAUUGAUCAGAAUUUCAUCACAUGACCAUACUUGGCAAAGGAGGCUGCAGAGGUAAUUUCUACGCAGGCUUAUUGUCACCCUCUAUGCCUAAAAAGAGGGACAAAUGAGUAUUGGGUGGCAAUUUCCAUUUUCUGCUAUAGGAAGUUAAAAUCUACUUGGGGAAGCAAGAACCUGAAGUCUUAAAGAGGCAAUUAAUAGUAUAUUGGGGAGGGGCAAGUGAUGGGUUGCUAAAAUUUGGAGGAGGCAGUGUAGGUGUCAAGGCACUCCAGGAAAGUGUCUUGGAAGAACUAGGAUUUGAAGUCCUUUUUGAGGAUGAGAAGGACUCAGGAGACACAAAAGACUGGGGAAGAUAUCUCAGCNNNNNNNNNNNNNNNNNNNNNCAGGAAAGCAAUGACCUCAGCAGAAGCCUAGAAGCUGGACAAUGCAGAUCAGCUCUCGGGGCAGAAGCAACAGAGACCAAAUGUUAAGCUGCAGAGUAAUGGAGUCUUUGGCUGGAAGGGAAGGAAAACAGACUGAUUUUUUUUUGUAAUUGUCUAAGGCACUAAGACCACUUGGCCAGGAUAAAAUGUGAAUACUGAACUUCCUUGUUACUGGAAUUGACACUCCUGUAUUUAUACACAACUCACGCCAGUAGAAAUGAUCGCACUGUUUACUCCAGUAAGUUUCACUCAUUUUGGGAUUGUCCAAGAUAGCACAAAGAGUGUAGCCAGUGACUAUAUGACAACACUAAUCAAAAUAAAGACGUGGGAUGCCUGAGCCGACAGCCCAAGGCUAUAAUUCAUUAAAUGGAGGAAGAAAAAGCCUACAGAUAGAGAGUUCUGGGCCCCUCUCCUAAAUAUUAAUUGUUUAUUUCAUGAUUCUUCUCCACUCUAAACAGACCUUAAACUGCCCCUUCUUAAUAUGCUCCCAUAAAGGAUUAUAAACUAGAAAGGAGGUUGGUUUAAACAAAGUAAUCAGAAAGUAAGCAACCUUCUUCUCUUUCUCUCUGGCUGGAAACUUGUUUUGUCUGUUAAGGAACUUUUCUCUUCAGCACACAGACCUCAAGGUCAAACAGAGGUCACUCUUCUGCUUUUUGAGGUAUGGGUGCUUUCACGUUAUUUGCUCAUUUUUAUUGCUGAGAAUAACCAUCCAUUUGCCCACAUAACCAGGGCCUCCUCAACACAAAGACUUGAGAGUGGGCACUGGCAGGGGGUUAAUCCCAUUCAACACAAAGCAAACAAGUUCAAAUCUCAUUAAAUGUCGGACUUUGCUGCAAGAAUACAAAUAUUUCCAAUUUAGAAAAGGAAGAUAGAAAUGUGACACAGAAGUAUUCUAAUCAUUUAGUAGAAUAAAUCGUACCAACAUGAUCCUAAAACUGUCAACUGGGUGGAAAAAAAGAAUAAAACUCCAUUAAUAAUACAACAGUAAUGCUUACUUUUUCACAUGAGGAAAAUUCCAUUAUAACAAACAGCCCGAGGCUUUCAAAUUGCUUUUGUUCUAGAUCAGUGGAAUAUUGUUAUAAAGAAUAUAUUACUAGCAAUGAUAGUUUGGGUCUGAAGAUGAAACCUAGCUGAUUUUUUAUAGUGAACUAACAGAGAUGGCAGUGCCAUGUGUGAAUAACCUCCUUUGUGCAAAUUUUUAAAAGGUAGACUUUUCAUGUGGGCACACGGCUUGGUGAGGAGAAUGCAGGUUGGCAUUCAACUCCAUUUUCCUCCUCAGUCAGAGCACCUUCUGCAGAUGCUCUGGUUGCACAAGAUUGUUCUUUUAAGACCUAUGUUAAGUUGAUUCUCUGAAAUUACUUUCCUUGAGUCUAUGGGAUGAACCUUCUGUAUGCCUCCUUUUUAGCUAUAAGGUCCUCUGUGAUAGAAUUUCUCAUUCAAAGAUGUGGACCAAUGUUUUUUCCUUUGGUAAAUUCAUCCUACAAGGAUCUUGCGAGGCCCCUGUAUCCCUAACAAUGCCAUGAUCAUGGUGCCUCGGGCAAGAUACAGGCCAAGGUUGGCCAGAGGCCUUGACCUUACAGGCAGGAUCCUCAACUGCCCUGUGAUCGCCAAGGGAGCAGUCUUAGCUUGGGCUCCCUUAAGAGCAGAUCUUAAGACAAAGAUUUGGAUAUGAAUAGUUAACUUUGGAGGUAGUCCCAGGAGGCACAGUGGGUUGAGGAAAUGAGACAAGGAAAAGACAACUGGCAAUAGAGCUGGCUAUGCGAACCCAACUAGCAUUCAUGAGAACGCGGGUUCGAUCCCUGGCCUUGCUCAGUAGGUUAAGGAUCUGGCAUUGCCCUGAGCUGUGGGAUAGGUCAAAGACGUGGCUCAGAUCCUGCAUUGCUGUGGCUCUGGCAUAGGCCGGCAGCUGCAGUUCUGAUUGGAUCCCUAGCCUGGG